rnacentral:tRNA from 1 species
UGGCUCAGUCGGUUGAGCAUCUGACUUAGGCUCAGAUUGUGAUCUCGUGGCUCGUGAGUUCGAGCCUCGC